rnacentral:rRNA from 1 species
AUUGAACGCUGGCGGCAGGCCUAACACAUGCAAGUCGAACGAGUGGCGGACGGGUGAGUAAUGUCUGGGAAACUGCCUGAUGGAGGGGGAUAACUACUGGAAACGGUAGCUAAUACCGCAUACCAUCGGAUGUGCCCAGAUGGGAUUAGCUAGUAGGUGGGGUAAAGGCUCACCUAGGCGACGAUCCCUAGCUGGGCUGAGAGGAUGACCGACCACACUGGAACUGAGAAAAGGGCCAGACUCCUACGGGAGGGAGAAGUGGGGAAGAUUGCACAAUGGGCGCAAGCCUGAUGCAGCCAUGCCGCGGGUAUGAAGAAGGCCUUCGGGUUGUAAAGUACUUUCAGCGGGGAGGCGUUACCCGCAGAAGAAGCACCGGCUAACUCCGUGCCAGCAGCCGCGGUAAUAC